rnacentral:rRNA from 1 species
GAUGAGCGCUGGCGGCGUGCCUAAUACAUGCAAGUCGAGCGAACAGACGAGGAGCUUGCUCCUCUGACGUUAGCGGCGGACGGGGGAGUAACACGUGGAUAACCUACCUAUAAGACUGGGAUAACUUCGGGAAACCGGAGCUAAUACCGGAUAAUAUAUUGAACCGCAUGGUUCAAUAGUGAAAGACGGUUUUGCUGUCACUUAUAGAUGGAUCCGCGCCGCAUUAGCUAGUUGGUAAGGUAACGGCUUACCAAGGCGACGAUGCGUAGCCGACCUGAGAGGGUGAUCGGCCACACUGGAACUGAGACACGGUCCAGACUCCUACGGGAGGCAGCAGUAGGGAAUCUUCCGCAAUGGGCGAUAGCCUGACGGAGCAACGCCGCGUGAGUGAUGAAGGUCUUCGGAUCGUAAAACUCUGUUAUUAGGGAAGAACAAGUGUGUAAGUAACUAUGCACGUCUUGACGGUACCUAAUCAGAAAGCCACGGCUAACUACGUG